GACGAACGCUGGCGGCGUGCUUAACACAUGCAAGUCGAACGGAAAGGCCCUGCUUUUGUGGGGUGCUCGAGUGGCGAACGGGUGAGUAACACGUGAGUAACCUGCCCUUGACUUUGGGAUAACUUCAGGAAACUGGGGCUAAUACCGGAUAGGAGCUCCUGCUGCAUGGUGGGGGUUGGAAAGUUUCGGCGGUUGGGGAUGGACUCGCGGCUUAUCAGCUUGUUGGUGGGGUAGUGACUUACCAAGGCUUUGACGGGUACCCGGCCUGAGAGGGUGACCGGCCGCAUUGGGACUGAGAUACCGCCCAGACUCCUACGGGAGGCAGAAGCGGUGAAUAUUGCACAAUGGGCGGAAGCCUGAUGCAGCAACGCCGCGUGCGGGAUGACGGCCUUCCGGAUGAAAACCGCUUUCGCCUGUGACAAACCGUGAGUGACCGUAAUGGGUCAAGAAGCACCGGCUAACUAUGUGCCCGCAGUCGCCGGUGAUACCUACGGUGGGAGCGGUUGUCCGGAUUUAUUGGGCGUAAAGAGCUCGUAAGUGGUUGAUCGCGUCGGAAGUGUAAUCUUGCGACUUGACCCUGAGCGUGCUUUCGAUACGCGUUGACUCGUGAAGGGUAGGGGAGAAGGGAAUUCCUGGAGGAACGGUGGUAUGCGCAGAUAUCAGGAAGAACAGCAGUGGGCAACAGCGGUUAUGUAGCGCAUUCCUCACGGUGAGGAGCGAAAGCGUGGGGAGCGAACAGGCUUAGAUACCUAGAUAGUCCACUCUGUAUACGGUGGGUACUAGGUGUGGGGUCCAUUCCACGGGUUCCGUGCCGUAGGUAUCGCUUUAAGUACUCCGCCUGGGGAGUACGGCCGCAAGGCUAAAACUCAAAGGAAUAGACGGGGCCCCGCACAAGCGGCGGAGCAUGCGGAUUAAUUCGAUGCAACGCGUAGAACCAGACCUGGGUCUGACAUGGAUCGGGAGUGCUCAGAGAUGGGUGUGCCUCUUUCGGGGUCGGUUCACAGGUGGUGCAUGGCUGUCGUCAGCUCGUGUCGUGAGAUGUUGGGUUAAGUCAUUGCAACGAGCGCAACCCUUGUUCACUGUUGCCAGCACGAUAUGGUGGGGAAUCAGUGGAGACCGCCGGGGUCAACUCGGAGGAAGGUGGGGAUGACGUCAAGUCAUCAUGCCCCUUAUGUCCAGGGCUUCACGCAUGGUACAAUGGCUGGUACAGAGAGUGGCGAGCCUGUGAGGGUGAGCGAAUCUCGGAAAGCCGGUCUCAGUUCGGAUUGGGGUCUGCAACUCGACCUCAUGAAGUAGGAGGCGCUAGUAAUCGCAGAUCAGCAACGCUGCGGUGAAUACGUUCCCGGGGCU
rnacentral:rRNA from 1 species